rnacentral:rRNA from 1 species
AGAGUUUGAUCCUGGCUCAGAACGUACGCUGGCGGCACGCCUAACACAUGCAAGUCGAACGAAGUAGCAAUACUUAGUGGCAAACGGGUGAGUAAUAUGUGGGAAUCUACCCUUCGGUCUGGAAUAACAUGAGGAAACUUAUGCUAAUACCGGAUAAGCCUUUACAGGGAAAGCUUUAUGCUCCGAUUGAUGAGUCCACACUUGAUUAGUUAGUUGGUGAGGUAAUAGCUCACCAAGACAAUGAUCAAUAGCUGAUUUGAGAGGAUGAUCAGCCACAUUGGGACUGAGACACGGCCCAAACUCCUACGGGAGGCAGCAGUGGGGAAUCUUGCACAAUGGGGGAAACCCUGAUGCAGCGAUGCCGCGUGUGUGAAGAAGGCCCUUGGGUUGUAAAGCUCUUUCGUCGGGGAAGAAAAUGACUGUACCCGAAUAAGAAGGUCCGGCUAACUUCGUGCCAGCAGCCGCGGUAAUACGAAGGGACCUAGCGUAGUUCGGAAUUACUGGGCUUAAAGAGCACGUAGGUGGUUAAAAAAGUUGGUGGUGAAAUCCCAGAGCUUAACUCUGGAACUGCCAUCAAAACUUUUUAGCUAGAGUAUGAUAGAGGAAAGUGGAAUUUCUAGUAUAGAGGUGAAAUUCGUAGAUAUUAGAAAG